rnacentral:rRNA from 1 species
GUGGAUAGGGGUGAAAGGCCAAUCAAACUCAGUGAUAGCUGGUUCUCUCCGAAAUAUAUUUAGGUAUAGCCUCAAGAAUUGACAUGUAGGGGUAAAGCACUGAAUGGGCUAGGGCUACUUACCGUGGUACCAAACCCAAUCAAACUCUGAAUACUACAUGUUUUAUCUUGGGAGUCAGGCGAUGGGUGAUAAAAUCCACCGUCGAGAGGGGAACAACCCAGACUACCAAAUAAGGUCCCUAAGUUCUAUCUAAGUGGAAAAGGAUGUAACAUUGCUUAGACAAUUAGGAGGUUGGCUUAGAAGCAGCCACCCUUUAAAGAAAGCGUAACAGCUCACUAAUCUAGCGAUGAUGCGCCGAAAAUAUAACGGGGCUAAGAUAGACACCGAAUUUGUAGACCCGCCAGGGUGGUAGGAGAGCGUUCUAAAAUCAGUGAAGCUGUAUCGACAAGAAGCAGUGGAGAUUUUAGAAGUGAGCAUGCAGGUAUGAGUAACGAUAAAACAGGUGAGAAUCCUGUUCGCCGAAAACCCAAGGUUUCCUACGCGAUGCUCGUCAUCGUAGGGUUAGUCUGGUCCUAAGCCGAGUCCGAAAGGGGUAGGUGAUGGAAAAUCGGUUAAUAUUCCGAUACCAACUUUAAAUUGUGAUGGAAGGACGCAUAGGGCUAUCUGAGGUCGCUGAUGGAAUAGCGGCUCGAAAGAUGUAGGUAGAAAAAUUGGUAAAUCCGUUUUUUGUUUCCGAAAUCUGACAGGCUCUUGAAGCCCUUCGGGGUGGAUUGAGAAUCAGGGAUGCCGUCGUGCCAAGAAAAGUUUCUAAGCUUAGUUUAAAGUUGCCAGUACCGUAAACCGACACAGGUGGGUGAGAUGAGUAUUCUCAGGCGCGCAGAAGAACCGUGAUUAAGGAACUCUGCAAAAUAGCACCGUAUCUUCGGUAUAAGGUGUGCCACAGCAAUGUGGUCUCAGCAAAGAGUCCCUCCCGACUGUUUACCAAAAACACAGCACUCUGCCAACAAGUAAUUGGAUGUAUAGGGUGUGACGCCUGCCCGGUGCUGGAAUGUUAAGGGGAUUUGUUAGGCAACGAAGCAAUGAACCGAAGCACCAGUAAACGGCGGCCGUAACUAUAACGGUCCUAAGGUAGCGAAAUUCCUUGUCGGUUAAAUACCGACCUGCAUGAAUGGCGUAACGAGAUGGGAGCUGUCUCAACCAGGGAUCCAGUGAAAUUGUAGUGGAGGUGAAAAUUCCUCCUACCCGCGGAAAGACGGAAAGACCCCGUGGACCUUUACUACAGCUUGACACUGCUAUUGGGAUAUUUAUGUGCAGGAUAGGUGGGAGCCGUUGAAGUUAGGACGCCAGUUCUAAUGGAGGCACCCUUGAGAUACCACCCUUAGAUAUUUUGAUAGCUAACUCCGCUCAGUUAUCCUGAGUGAGGACAAUGUCUGGUGGGUAGUUUGACUGGGGCGGUCGCCUCCUAAAGAGUAACGGAGGCUUACAAAGGUUGGUUCAGAUGGGUUGGAAAUCCAUCGUAGAGUAUAAUGGCAUAAACCAGCUUGACUGUGAGAGAUACACCUCGAGCAGAGACGAAAGUCGGUCAUAGUGAUCCGGUGAUUUUGAAUGGAAGAAUCAUCGCUCAAAGGAUAAAAGGUACCCCGGGGAUAACAGGCUGAUCUCCCCCAAGAGCUCACAUCGACGGGGAGGUUUGGC